rnacentral:rRNA from 1 species
UCCCAUCCCCAUACCACCCUAAUUAUGCCCUAUCUCGUCUGAUCUUGGAACCUAAGUAGGGUCAGGCCUGGUUAGUACUUGGAUGGGAGACUGCCUGGGAAUACUGGGUGCUAUAGGCU